rnacentral:rRNA from 1 species
ACGAUGUGGAGUUGCGAAAACAACCAGGAUGUUGGCUUAGAAGCAGCCACUCAUUCAAAGAGUGCGUAAUAGCUCACUGGUCGAGUGACUCUGCGCGGAAAAUUCAACGGGGCUAAAAUCAUAACCGAAGCUUGGGAUGCAAUUAAUGCAUGGUAGGGGAGCGUUGUGUAAGGGGUGAAGUCACAGCGGAAGCGGUGGUGGACAUUACACAAGUGAGAAUGCCGGAAUGAGUAGCGCGAAUUAUGUGAGAAUCAUAAUGGCCGAAAGUCUAAGGUUUUUGGAGGAAGGUUCGUCCGCUCCAAGUUAGUCGGGAGCUAAGGUGAGGCCGAAAGGCGUAGCCGAUGCACAUACGGUAGAAAUUCCGUAACCGUCGAAGUAUUUAAGCAAAGGGACACUUUGGGAAGGUACAAGCCAGGCGUUGGUAGCCCUGGCCGUAAGGGACUGAAAAUUAGUAGGGAAGUGUACUGGAACAGAGGCGAGAAAAGCUUUGUGUAUAUACAAGACGCCCGUACCGCAAACCGACACAGGUAGAUGGGAAGAGAAUUCUAAGGCCAACGGGAGAAGGGUUGUUAAGGAACUCGGCAAGUUGACCCCGUAACUUCGGAAUAAGGGGUGCUCACGAGAGUGAGCCGCAGAGAAUAGGCCCAGGCAACUGUUUACCAAAAACACAGGUUUGUGCUAAAUCGAAAGAUGACGUAUACGAGCUGACGCCUGCCCGGUGCUGGAAGGUUAAGAGGAGAUGUGCAAGCAUUGAAUCGAAGCCCCAGUAAACGGCGGCCGUAACUAUAACGGUCCUAAGGUAGCGAAAUUCCUUGUCAGGUAAGUUCUGACCCGCACGAAAGGCGUAAUGAUUUGGGCACUGUCUCAACAGCCCGCCCGGCGAAAUUGUAGUACCGGUGAAGAUGCCGGUUACCCGCGACAAGACGGAAAGACCCCAUGGAGCUUUACUGUAGCUUAAUAUUGGAUUUUGAUAUUUCAUGUACAGAAUAGGUGGGAGACUGAGAAGCAGAGGCGUCAGCUUCUGUGGAGUCGCCUUUGGGAUACCACUCUUGAAGUGUUGAAAUUCUAACCUGCGGCCGUGAAACCGGUCGGGGGACAUUGUUAGGUGGGCAGUUUGACUGGGGCGGUCGCCUCCAAAAAGGUAUCGGAGGCGCUCAAAGGUUCGCUCAGCAUGGACGGAAACCAUGCCCUUGAGUGUAAACGCAUAAGCGAGCCUAACUGCGAGACGGACAGGUCGAGCAGUAACGAAAGUUGGAGUUAGUGAUCCGGCGGUAUGUGAGUGGAAAUGCCGUCGCUCAACGGAUAAAAGCUACCCUGGGGAUAACAGGCUGAUCU